GAUGAACGCUGGCGGCGUGCUUAACACAUGCAAGUCGAACGGAGAUUGCUAAAGGAAGUUUUCGGAUGGAAUUUAGUAAUCUUAGUGGCGGACGGGUGAGUAACGCGUGAGGAACCUGCCUUUCAGAGGGGGACAACAGUUGGAAACGACUGCUAAUACCGCAUAACGCGUAGAGGUCGCAUGGCCUUUACGCCAAAGAUUUAUCGCUGAAAGAUGGCCUCGCGUCUGAUUAGCUAGUUGGUGAGGUAACGGCCCACCAAGGCGACGAUCAGUAGCCGGACUGAGAGGUUGGCCGGCCACAUUGGGACUGAGACACGGCCCAGACUCCUACGGGAGGCAGCAGUGGGGAAUAUUGGGCAAUGGGCGCAAGCCUGACCCAGCAACGCCGCGUGAAGGAAGAAGGCUUUCGGGUUGUAAACUUCUUUUGUCAGGGACGAAUAAAUGACGGUACCUGACGAAUAAGCCACGGCUAACUACGUG
rnacentral:rRNA from 1 species